rnacentral:rRNA from 1 species
GAAUUCACUAGUGAUUCGGGCCUAACACAGUGCAAGUCGAACGGCAGCACGGGGGCAACCCUGGUGGCGAGUGGCGAACGGGUGAGUAAUACAUCGGAACGUGUCCUGUAGUGGGGGAUAGCCCGGCGGAAGCCGGAUUAGUACCGGAUACGCUCUACGGAGGAAAGGGGGGGAUCUUAGGACCUCCCGCUACAGGGGCGGCCGAUGGCAGAUUAGCUAGUUGGUGGGGUAAAGGCCUGCCAAGGCGACGAUCUGUAGCUGGUCUGAGAGGAGGACCAGCCACACUGGGACUGAGACACGGCCCAGACUCGUACGGGAGGCAGCAGUGGGGAAUUUUGGACAAUGGGCGAAAGCCUGAUCCAGCAAGGCCGCGUGUG